UUUUUUUGCCGAGAUCGCUUUUUGGGAGUUCCGCCAUAAGAACUAUCAUCUGACUCACUUUCCUCAGAGGUGACAGAUUCAGCUUCAUCGUCUAAAUCGCGAAUUGUUCGAUGACGAGAAAAAGAUGAACCAUUUCUAGUACCUUUACGAUGCUUGGAUGGGAACACAUCUUCUUGAUCAUCAGUGUCUACAUAUCUUCCUGGAUUACUACGAGUGCG